rnacentral:rRNA from 1 species
UACGUAGGUGGCGAGCGUUGUCCGGAAUUACUGGGUGUAAAGGGCGUGUAGGCGGGAAGACAAGUCAGAUGUGAAAUACCGUGGCUUAACCACGGGGCUGCAUCUGAAACUGUUUUUCUUGAGUGUCGGAGAGGAAAGUGGAAUUCCCAGUGUAGCGGUGAAAUGCGUAGAUAUUGGGAGGAACACCAGUGGCGAAGGCGACUUUCUGGACGAUAACUGACGCUGAGGCGCGAAAGCGUGGGGAGCAAACAGGAUUAGAUACCCUGGUAGUCCACGCUGUAAACGAUGGAUACUAGGUGUGGGAGGUAUCGACCCCUUCCGUGCCGCAGUUAACACAAUAAGUAUCCCACCUGGGGAGUACGGCCGCAAGGUUGAA